rnacentral:rRNA from 1 species
GAGAAGGUAGCUUCGGCUACUGGAGAGUGGCGCACGGGUGAGUAACGCGUGGGGACCUACCUCUUAGUGGGGGAUAACGGUUGGAAACGACCGCUAAUACCGCAUACGCCCUUCGGGGGAAAGAUUUAUCGCUAAGAGAUGGACCCGCGUUGGAUUAGAUAGUUGGUGAGGUAACGGCUCACCAAGUCAGCGAUCCAUAGCUGGUUUGAGAGGAUGAUCAGCCACACUGGGACUGAGACACGGCCCAGACUCCUACGGGAGGCAGCAGUGGGGAAUAUUGGACAAUGGGGGCAACCCUGAUCCAGCCAUGCCGCGUGAGUGAAGAAGGCCUUCGGGUUGUAAAGCUCUUUCAGAUGCGAAGAUGAUGACGGUAACAUCAGAAGAAGCCCCGGCUAAUUUCGUGCCAGCAGCCGCGGUAAU